UCGGGAAUAUUGCGCAAUGGAGGAAACUCUGACGCAGUGACGCCGCGUGCAGGAAGAAGGUUUUCGGAUUGUAAACUGCUUUAGACAGGGAAGAACAAAUGACAGUACCUGUAGAAUAAGCUCCGGCUAACUACGUGCCAGCAGCCGCGGUAAUACGUAGGGAGCAAGCGUUAUCCGGAUUUAUUGGGUGUAAAGGGUGCGUAGACGGGAAGUCAAGUUAGUUGUGAAAUCCCUCGGCUCAACUGAGGAACUGCAACUAAAACUAACUUUCUUGAGUGCUGGAGAGGAAAGUGGAAUUCCUAGUGUAGCGGUGAAAUGCGUAGAUAUUAGGAGGAACACCAGUGGCGAAGGCGACUUUCUGGACAGUAACUGACGUUGAGGCACGAAAGUGUGGGGAGCAAACA
rnacentral:rRNA from 1 species